rnacentral:rRNA from 1 species
AACAAACGCUGGCGGCGUGCCUAACACAUGCAAGUCGUACGAGAAAGGGUCCUUCGGGGCCUGAGUAAAGUGGCGCACGGGUGAGUAACGCGUGGAUAAUCUGCCCUUCAGUUGGGAAUAACUCAUCGAAAGGUGGGCUAAUACCGAAUAAUGCUGUGAGACCUCGGUUGAUCAGCCAAAGAGAGCCUCUGCUUGCAAGCCCUCGCUGAGGGAUGAGUCCGCGUACCAUUAGCUAGUUGGUAGGGUAAUGGCCUACCAAGGCGACGAUGGUUAGCUGGUCUGAGAGGAUGAUCAGCCACACUGGAACUGAGACACGGUCCAGACUCCUACGGGAGGCAGCAGUGAGGAAUCUUGCGCAAUGGGGGCAACCCUGACGCAGCAACGCCGCGUGAGUGAGGAAGGUCUUCGGAUCGUAAAGCUCUGUCGGAUGGAAAGAACCGCAUAGGGGUAAACAGCCCCUGUGUCUGACGGUACCAUCAAAGGAAGCACCGGCUAACUCCGUGCCAGCCGCCGCAGUAAUAC